UGGAAAUCCAUAGAUGUCUCAAGUGUUCGUAGCAGAGAUGCUGAGUUCUACUACAACUUGUUAGAUUAAGUUGUAGAAGAAAUUGGAGAAAGCUACAUUGUCCAAAUAGUGACUGAUAAUGAGGCAGCAAUGAAAGCCGUUGGAAAAAAAUAAUGUUAAAAAGAAAGCAUCUAUAUUGGACCUCAUAUGCAGCUCAUUGUUUGGAUUUAUGCCUUGAAGAUAUUGGAAAAAGGCCUAGUGUAGCAAAAGUGUUAGAAGAGGCUAAGAAAGUGACUUGUUUCAUAUACAAUCACAUUUGGACUAUUGAUCUAAUGAAGAAGUAUACACAAGGGAAGCAAAUACUUCGACCAGCUCUUACUCGAUUUGCAACUCAUUUCAUCCAACUUGAAGAGAUAACAAGACAAAAGCAAGGUCUGAGAGAAAUGUUUAAUUCAAAGACUCAAAAUGGGGAUAACAAAAGACAGGGCCAGCUUAUGAAGCCAAGAAGAUUAUUUUGGGAAAAGAUUUUUGGAAAAAAGCAAACGACCUCAUAAAAGUUUACGAGCCCUUAGCGAAAGUAUUGAGACUUGUGGAUAGUGAUGAAAAACCAAUAGUGGGCUUUAUUUAUGAAGCUGUUGAUAAAUCAAAACGGGCGAUUCAACAAGAUUGUCGAUAUUUCACUGAGUAUGAAAAGAUUAUUGACAAUAGGUGGAAUUUUAUGCAUUCUGACUUGCAUUCAGCCGUUGUUACUAUUUCGAGAUAAACAUGAGACAUUCGGUACUCCACAAGCACAGAGAGCUUGGAGCCAAAUGAAUCCAGG